UUUUAAUAAUAUUAUAAAUGACUUAAUUGACCUUAAAUGUAAGUUAAAAUUUGUAUAUACGAUGAAGUUUGUAUUAUAGUUAAUCAUUCGGACGAAGUGGUGUGAGGUGGGAGGGAAGGAGGGGGGGUCCACGACGUUGUUGCUGUCACUUACUCGAAUCAGUUAUCUCUGGGACUCGCCUAUACAAGGUUGUCCAAUUUUUCUACUUCGGCCGUGGAAAGUGGUUGGUCACGGCCAAACUAUUUGGUCGAAUUUUGUGUUAAUACCUCAUCUAGUGGAUUUUGAAGACAUGUCUAACAGAUUUUCAAAUUUCUCAAUUGAAAGUUUUUGCAAAGUGUCCUACGACAGUGGUAGAAAAUAUAACAAAUUAUGGGAAGAAAAAUUCGUCUGUGUUAGUAUAGCCAGUGAUGGAAGUGAAAAUGCUCCAGUGCCAAGGAAAAUGUUGCAGAGAUUUGAAAGUAACACCACACAUGGUGGAGCUAUUUAACUCUGUAAUCAUGUACGAGAAGGAAGAACCAGGGGACGGUGACGAACUGGACUCCACCAUUAUCAUGCUCCACCACCAUUUGAGUUUACGAUUUGGCCGUGAAGCUUGUCGUACAUGUGGCAACCCUGUUCCUAUGCGAUUUGAGUGGGAGGUGGAUGACCUUUGUAGGGUAUUUGACCUUGGCUGAAGCCUUUAUAUACAAUAUACAGAAGUGUGUGGGAGGUGGAAGAGCAUUCUUGGCUAUUUGACAUUGGCUGAAGUCUUAUAAAGUGAAGAAGAAGACGAAGAAGAAGGAGGGGGGGUCCACGACGUUGUUGCUGUCAGUUACUCGAAUCAGUUAUCUCUGGGACUCGCAAAGACUAGUUGUCAAAUUUUUCUACUUCGGCCGUGGAAAGUGUUUUUGCAAAGUGUCUUACGACAGUGGUAGAAAAUAUAACAAAUUAUGGGAAGAAAAAUUCGUCUGUGUUAGUAUAGCCCGUGAUGGAAGUGAAAAUGCUCCAGUUCCAAGGAAAAUGUUGCAGAUUUGAAAGUAACACCACACAUGGUGGAGCUAUUUAACUCUGCAAUCACGUACGAGAAGGAAGAACCAGGGGACGGUGACGAACUGGACUCCACCAUUAUCAUGCUCCACCACCAUUUGAGUUUAUGAUUUGGCAGUGAAGCUUGUCGUACAUGUGGCAACCCUGUUCCUAUGCGAUUUGAGUGGGAGGUGGAUGACCUUUGUAGGGUAUUUGACCUUGGCUGAAGCCUUUAUAUACAAUAUACAGAAGUGUGUGGGAGGUGGAAGAGCAUUCUUGGCUAUUUGACAUUGGCUGAAGUCUUAUAAAGUGUAGAAGAAGAAGGAGGGGGGUCCACGACGUUGUUGCUGUCACUUACUCGAAUCGGUUAUCUCUGGGACUCGCUAAGACUAGUUGUCAAAUUUUUCUACUUCGGCCGUGGAAAGUGUGUCUUACGACAGUGGUAGAAAAUAUAACAAAUUAUGGGAAGAAAAAUUCGUCUGUGUUAGUAUAGCCCGUGAUGGAAGUGAAAAUGCUCCAGUUCCAAGGAAAAUGUUGCAGAUUUGAAAGUAACACCACACAUGGUGGAGCUAUUUAACUCUGCAAUCACGUACGAGAAGGAAGAACCAGGGGACGGUGACGAACUGGACUCCACCAUUAUCAUGCUCCACCACCAUUUGAGUUUAUGAUUUGGCAGUGAAGCUUGUCGUACAUGUGGCAACCCUGUUCCUAUGCGAUUUGAGUGGGAGGUGGAUGACCUUUGUAGGGUAUUUGACCUUGGCUGAAGCCUUUAUAUACAAUAUACAGAAGUGUGUGGGAGGUGGAAGAGCAUUCUUGGCUAUUUGACAUUGGCUGAAGUCUUAUAAAGUGUAGAAGAAGGAGGGGGGUCCACGACGUUGUUGCUGUCACUUACUCGAAUCAGUUAUCUCUGGGACUCGCUAAGACUAGUUGUCAAAUUUUUGUACUUCGGCCGUGGAAAGUGGUUGGUCACCGCCAAACUAUUUGGCCGAAUUUUGUGUUAAUACCUCAUCUAGUGGAUUUUGAAGACAUGUCUAACAGAUUUUCAAAUUUCUCAAUUGAAACGUGUCCAGCAUAUGGGUUAAGCUUUAUAGCAGUGGUUCUCAACCUUGUUUGCUCCAUGCACUCUUUUCACCAUAUGUCAGAAUGUCAUUCCCCCCUCCUUUCCAAGAUUGUCUGCCUCAAAAAUUGCAUUCCAAAUAAUAUGCAUAUAAUACUGAAAAUCCUUUAUUAUUUCCAUAUUAGUAUCAGUUUUCCCCCGUCUCUGAAAACCUGAGGGGGGAAAUUCACCCUGGUUGAGAACCCCUGCUUUAUAGUUUACAAAGCCAUCUGAGUUACUUUCUGAAAUUCUGAUUGAUAGUUUUCAAAAUGAUUAGUUUUUGCAAAGUGUCUUACGACAGUGGUAGAAAAUAUAACAAAUUAUGGGAAGAAAAAUUCGUCUGUGUUAGUAUAGCCAGUGAUGGAAGUGAAAAUGUUCCAGUUCCAAGGAAAAUGUUGCAGAUUUGAAAGUAACACCACACAUGGUGGAGCUAUUUAACUCUGCAAUCACGUACGAGAAGGAAGAACCAGGGGACGGUGACGAACUGGACUCCACCAUUAUCAUGCUCCACCACCAUUUGAGUUUAUGAUUUGGCCGUGAAGCUUGUCGUACAUGUGGCAACCCUGUUCCUAUGCGAUUUGAGUGGGAGGUGGAUGACCUUUGUAGGGUAUUUGACCUUGGCUGAAGCCUUUAUAUACAAUAUACAGAAGUGUGUGGGAGGUGGAAGAGCAUUCUUGGCUAUUUGACAUUGGCUGAAGUCUUAUAAAGUGAAGAAGAAGAAGGAGAAGGAGGGGGGUCCACGACGUUGUUGCUGUCACUUACUCGAAUCAGUUAUCUCUGGGACUCGCUAAGACUAGUUGUCAAAUUUUUCUACUUCGGCCGUGGAAAGUGUUUUUGCAAAGUGUCUUACGACAGUGGUAGAAAAUAUAACAAAUUAUGGGAAGAAAAAUUCGUCUGUGUUAGUAUAGCCAGUGAUGGAAGUGAAAAUGCUCCAGUUCCAAGGAAAAUGUUGCAGAGAUUUGAAAGUAUCACCACACAUGGUGGAGCUAUUUAACUCUGCAAUCAUGUACGAGAAGGAAGAACCAGGGGACGGUGACGAACUGGACUCCACCAUUAUCAUGCUCCACCACCAUUUGAGUUUACGGUAAGUCUUCACUGUGGAUUACAGAUAUUAUGUUUAUGUAAUUAUUGGGCUCUGAAUUAUAAGUGAAAAUUUUGUUUUGUUGCGACAUUUUAAGUGCAUAUUGUGGGGGAGAUUUUUAUUUUGUGUGGAUUGCAAAAAUAGCUUUGUGCUUUCCAUCCAAAAAGAUUUGGCCAUGAAGCUUGUCGUACAUGUGGCAACCGUGUUCCUAUGCGGUAUGUGUUAAUUGUGGUUAAUUUCAUGUUCACGAAGAUUUAAUGUUAAAUAUUUUAAGUGUUUAUUCGGACGUACUUCACAAGAUUUGGUAUAUAUUUUG